rnacentral:rRNA from 1 species
AACGAACGCUGGCGGCAUGCCUAACACAUGCAAGUCGAACGAGACCUUCGGGUCUAGUGGCGCACGGGUGCGUAACGCGUGGGAACCUGCCCUUAGGUUCGGAAUAACUCCCCGAAAGGGGUGCUAAUACCGGAUAAUGUCUUCGGACCAAAGAUUUAUCGCCUUUGGAUGGGCCCGCGUUGGAUUAGCUGGUUGGUAGGGUAAAAGCCUACCAAGGCGACGAUCCAUAGCUGGUCUGAGAGGAUGAUCAGCCACACUGGGACUGAGACACGGCCCAGACUCCUACGGGAGGCAACAGUGGGGAAUAUUGGACAAUGGGCGAAAGCCUGAUCCAGCAAUGCCGCGUGAGUGAUGAAGGCCUUAGGGUUGUAAAGCUCUUUUACCCGGGAUGAUAAUGACAGUACCGGGAGAAUAAGCUCCGGCUAACUCCGUG